rnacentral:lncRNA from 1 species
UUUUCCAUCCACAAUCAAAACAUUUACAUCUUCAAGAUGGAUAAAAAACAUUUUAGAGGAUCCAGUUGGACAUUGCCCUGUGUUUACGGUUCCCUUGUAUGUAAGGCACAAGUGUUAGUUCUUGGUUUGGAAAGAUGUUUGCAUUAGAUUCAGUGAAAAAGCAAGUUAAAGAGCUCACACCUACAGAGUUCCUACUGUCGCCCACACCUCGCUCCUAGAUUCAUGGGCUCUCUGGUGACAUCUCUGCACACCUGUUGGCCACACGUGGUCCUCUAUUCACA